AAUUAAAAAAGCAACCUGUAAGCUUCAUCCUGCUGGUAAUCAUUUUGGGGUGUUAUUUGCAGACUAGGACUUUCUACAGUACAAAUAAAUCUCACUUGUAUUUUAGACAGAGCUUUCUCCAAGGUACCCUGAACAGAAAAUGCUCACGACAACCAGAGGUCACAACAUCAGUGAAGCCUCAUCAGCACCUAAUGCAAGUGGAAGGUUUGCCAGAAAGUGUCUCUACUUUUUUCCCCAAACUGCAGAUCUGGAGUUGAUGAAAGGCAACAUUCCAAUGUUGAUUUUCUGGGUUGAUUCAAUUACUGCAAAAGCCAUAGAAAGUGUUUGAGACAAUUUUAUGAAAUGUGUACAUACCUCCUCUUAAAAGCUUGCUCUGAAAUUCAGCUGUGUCACAGCCCCAUUUCAGCACACAUAAAACUAAUGGAAAAAUUGCCUGAUAUAGAAACACAAGCUUGAACUCUGGGUAGCCAAAAUGUUUUAAGAUCUAAUCCAUGAAGCUUUCUACUUAUUUACUCAGGCAUGUGGGUAACUUGAAGCAUUUUCAGGAGGAAAAAAUAAAUGGAAGAGACAGUUGGUGCAGCAGAUAAGCCAUAUCAAAACUCAAGAGAGAUUUUAACAGGAAGAUAAUGGAUGGCUGUUAAGACCAGUUACCAAAGACUUGAUAGAAUAUAGACCUGGAGGCCAGAAGAUGGGCUAAUGGAGCAUAAUUUUGCAUUUCACAUUUCUAGAACUUCAUAUCUGGAAAGCAAAACACACAAUACACACAAACCCACGCACAUUCAGAAUCCUUCAUGCUUCAGUGGCCAGCUGAAUGUGCCCAGCACACACAGACACACAGGCAUAGGUGUAAUUUGCACAUUUAGUGCCUGGUGUGCAGGCGUUACCUCCUGGCAGCUCCACUGCUGGGACAAGGCUGGCCAAACCUGAGCUCUGAGCCUCCAUCAGCCCUGCCUGAGUGCUGUGACACUCUGUCAGCCACCAGCCACGACUGCUCGACGAGAUCUUCUGAAGAGAGUUGGAACAAUAUUUUCCUGAAAACUUGUGCCAUUAUUUUCAGAUUGUGUUCUGGGAUCAUGCAAACACUGAAUCUUCACCUUAUGGGAAGGAAAUGAUUUUAAUAAACCCUCUCCCUCCUAAAUGUUCCAGUUGUCCCUUGGCAAGCCAGGAAUUCGUACUCCUGUCCAAGUUCUAAUUAAAGGAUAUGUCUCAAAAGCUGACAUUCUGUUCUGCUUAAAAAUAUUGGUUUGAGGGUGGGUUUUUGUUGUUGUUGUUGUUGGGGUUUUUGUUUUCUUUUUGGGCUUUUUUUUAAAUUCCAGAUUUGAAAACCAUAGCCAAUUAUUUAGUCAUAGUACUCUAUGCAAAUGUUCCAGAAGCUGGAUGUUAAUUUGACA